CUUCUCUUACCUUGUCCCAGUCCCGUUGCCUCUUUCCACCUUCCAGACCUUCCAACGUCUAAAAGUCGCAUCGGUCAGCCAUUAGUCCGGCUCCUGUUCCCUUUCAGGCCUCGGCUAUUCUGUCCUCGUCCUUCCUUCUCGCCACCCUCUUCGAUUGAGCGUCGGGCUUUUACGCUGACCGGCGUGACGUCCCUGACAUAUGGUCUUGUUCAGACAACGACAGGUUGUGACGAGAGGAUGUCGACAGAUGAAAGUCAUUUGAUGUCGCAACUAAGCGAGCAUGUGGGUUUUCAAAGGAGGAUUUAUUUGACGUGGCAGGUGGUACGCAUACAAAAACGACAGCACCUUGACUAGCACGUUUGUCUUGCGUAGGCGCAUGAAUUGCAUAUGAGCAGAUAUCGCCCAAAGUUCCCACCGAUCUGGCAUGUACCAAUUUGUCCACA
rnacentral:sRNA from 1 species